rnacentral:rRNA from 1 species
GACGAACGUUGGCGGCGUGCCUAAUACAUGCAAGUUGAGCGCUGAAGGUUGGUACUUGUACCGACUGGAUGAGCAGCGAACGGGUGAGUAACGCGUGGGGAAUCUGCCUUUGAGCGGGGGACAACAUUUGGAAACGAAUGCUAAUACCGCAUAAAAACUUUAAACACAAGUUUUAAGUUUGAAAGAUGCAAUUGCAUCACUCAAAGAUGAUCCCGCGUUGUAUUAGCUAGUUGGUGAGGUAAAGGCUCACCAAGGCGAUGAUACAUAGCCGACCUGAGAGGGUGAUCGGCCACAUUGGGACUGAGACACGGCCCAAACUCCUACGGGAGGCAGCAGUAGGGAAUCUUCGGCAAUGGACGAAAGUCUGACCGAGCAACGCCGCGUGAGUGAAGAAGGUUUUCGGAUCGUAAAACUCUGUUGGUAGAGAAGAACGUUGGUGAGAGUGGAAAGCUCAUCAAGUGACGGUAACUACCCAGAAAGGGACGGCUAACUACGUG